CCUACGGGAGGCAGCAGUGAGGAAUAUUGGUCAAUGGACGAGAGUCUGAACCAGCCAAGUAGCGUGAAGGAUGACUGCCCUAUGGGUUGUAAACUUCUUUUAUAUGGGAAUAAAACGUUCCACGUGUGGGAUUUUGUAUGUACCAUAUGAAUAAGGAUCGGCUAACUCCGUGCCAGCAGCCGCGGUAAUACGGAGGAUCCGAGCAUUAUCCGGAUUUAUUGGGUUUAAAGGGAGCGUAGGUGGAUUGUUAAGUCAGUUGUGAAAGUUUGCGGCUCAACCGUAAAAUUGCAGUUGAAACUGGCAGUCUUGAGUACAGUAGAGGUGGGCGGAAUUCGUGGUGUAGCGGUGAAAUGCUUAGAUAUCACGAAGAACUCCGAUUGCGAAGGCAGUUCACUGGACUGCAACUGACACUGAGGCUCGAAAGUGUGGGUAUCAAACAGGAUUAGAGACCCCAGUAGUC
rnacentral:rRNA from 1 species